AGGGUUGUAGUUAAUUAUAACAUUUAAGUUGCAUUUAAAAAUUAUUGAAUUUAGUCAAUCUACCUUA
rnacentral:tRNA from 1 species